rfam:Picea glauca, whole genome shotgun sequence.
UUAGAGGUUUCAUUGGAAACCACAAAGAUACCCUUAUAACUAGAAG